GAUGAAGGAACGUAGCGAAAUGCGAUAAGUAAUGUGAAUUGCAGAAUUCAGUGAAUCAUCGAAUCUUUGAACGCACAUUGCGCCCGCUGGUAUUCCGGCGGGCAUGCCUGUUCGAGCGUCAUUUCAACCCUCAAGCUCUCCGGAGUUUGGUGUUGGGGCGCCUGGGGCUUUUCGACCUCAGGGCCCUCAAGUCCAUCGGCGGGACCGCCAGGACACUGAGCGCAGUAGUAUUAUUUCGCUCGGUAGGAUCUUCCACGGCGGGUCGAUCUGGCCGCUAAACCCCCCAAUUCUCACCAAAGGUUGACCUCGGAUCAGGUAGGAAUACCCGCUGAACUUAAGCAUAUCAAUAAGCGGAGGA
rnacentral:misc_RNA from 1 species